UACGAAGGGGCUAGCGUUGCUCGGAAUCACUGGGCGUAAAGCGCACGUAGGCGGAUUGUUAAGUCAGGGGUGAAAUCCUGGAGCUCAACUCCAGAACUGCCUUUGAUACUGAGAAGCUUGAGUCGGGAGAGGUGAGUGGAACUGCGAGUGUAGAGGUGAAAUUCGUAGAGUAUUCGCAAGACACCAGUGGCGAAGGCGGCUCACUGGCCCGGUACGUGGACGCUGAGGUGCGAAAGCGUGGGAUGCAAGCAGGGAGUAAGCAUACC
rnacentral:rRNA from 1 species